UACAGAGGUCCCGAGCGUUGUUCGGAUUCACUGGGCGUAAAGGGUGCGUAGGUGGCGUGGUAAGUUUGAUGUGAAAGCUCAGGGCUUAACCCUGAAAUGGCAUUGAAUACUACUGUACUGGAGGUUUGGAGGGGGGACUGGAAUUCUUGGUGUAGCAGUGAAAUGCGUAGAUAUCAAGAGGAACACCAGUGGCGAAGGCGAGUCCCUGGACAACACCUGACACUGAGGCACGAAAGCUAGGGGAGCAAACAGG
rnacentral:rRNA from 1 species